AAUUAUAUUUUCUUUACCAAUUGCCCAAAUAUAUGAAGUGACAAAAAAAAAAUCCAAGACACAAAAAUGGAAAUUGAGAUCUAUUCCUAAUCCCUCCGCCGUCGAAGAAGCAUUUGGCGCAACUCUCCUUCAAACUCUCGUUGCCGUCGAAGAACAACUCUCCUUCAAUCUCUUGUCGCGCAUCUCUCCUCUCCGUUGCCGUUGAAAAAAACUAAACAGAAACCCUAAAAUUGUGCCUCUCUUCCUUCUCACUCCCAGACCUUCACGAUGCCUCUCUUCCUUCUCCCAGCGACUCAAUCUUCUUCUUCUUCUCUGUCGGGAGUCUAUUUGCCACUUUCGUCUAUUCACCAGUCACAAUCUUUAUUCUAUUUUAGUAACUAUUAAAUUCCUCAUCCUCUUUCAGGAAACCACCUACCGCCACCCACCGUCGAGCACCACCCGCCAUAAAGAGAUGUCGUGAAGUGAUGUGACGGAGACCGAAUUUAAUGUGGUAGCACUAGGUUCAUAGGUCUUUGGUUCUGGGACUCUGUUCCCCUCUUUCUCCGUUUCAACUCUUUUCGGAUAUUUUUCACAGGUCAGAUUCGUGGUAGGCUCUUGUUUCAAAAUUAGAAAUUAGGUUUGGUAGUUAUAUGUUUCUGAAUCUGAUUUUAAGGAAUAGGGUUCCAAAGUGACAGUUUUUAUAUUUACUUGUUAGUAGGGAUCUUAAAAAUUAUUGAAUUUGAAAUUGGGAAGUUGAGAAAUUAAUGUUUUGCAUGAUUCUAAAUAUCUGGGUUUAGACUCAGCUAUUUCUAGAUUUUUUUUUUUGCCUAAUCAAUUGAUUCAAUUUGCAUUCUAGUAUUUAUUUAAAGAGCAAAUAAAACAUGAGAGGCUAGUAUUUAUUUUUUGUUAAUUGGAUGCUAGCUGAUGUGAACUAUUUUGUUAGUUGAUGUGAACUUUGAAUCUAAUGUUUAUAUUAUGAUUAUGAUAUUGUUUGAUCGUGUUUCAAGUUUUCACCAUGUUGAGGUUUAAUUUGAUGCAUAUGUUCUCAUUUGAUUUAGAUUGUCUUCAAAGAAAGAAUUAAAUAAAUGCUAUAAAAUCCAUUGGAUAUCUUCUCAUUGUACUUCUAGCUUAACAAUUUAUGCCUUUCCUAUAUAUCAUCUCCUUUUCUUUAUCCUUUUCUGAUUGAUAUUUGAAAUCCUUUUUAGUCCUAGCUUCCUUGUCAUAAUUUGAGGGAGUUAAUCAGGGUUGGUCCUAUUUGUUCAAAUGUUUAUCUAUAAUUCAAAGCAAAACAACAACGCCUUUCCAGAAUGCUGGUUUUAGGUGCAGACGGAAUCCUGGUGUUUUUAAAGUCAUUAUUUCAAAACAACAAUGCCUAUUAUGAUUACUCCUACAACCUUGCAGAAGUUGGCUUACCCUGAAGAAGAAUAUGCCACUGCUAGAGCAGCAUCAACAGCUGACGCCAUCAUGGUUUGAUUUGCAUCAAAUAUCUUGUGUGACCUCAUCUCUCUCGCUUUCCGUCUUUUCUAAUGAACACACAUGUUGUAUUCAGUGUUCAGCUCAUUUGUGAUCUCUAUGGAAGGAAAUGCUUCAGAAACACUUUACAAGUUGUUACUGAUGAUAUGAAAGUGCAACUUGUAAAAGGGAUGCUUCGUAAGUUAUCCAGACAUGUAGUAAUCAACACUAUGCAAACACCGUCGUCACGAGAGAAUUUAUGUUUGCCACAAUUUUGUCUUACAAAUUAUGUUUGGUUUUGAUAGUUUUAUGGUGUAGACUUUACUUUCGAUUUGUUAGACAUAUACUUGGUUUUUUUUUUCUUAGUGUUGUUGUAUGACAUAAUGGUUGUCACUUUUAAGAUUCUCAAAAUUCAGUUUCACACUACGUUUAA